rnacentral:rRNA from 1 species
GACGUAGGGGGCGAGCGUUGUCCGGAUUUAUUGGGCGUAAAGAGCUCGUAGGCGGCUCAGAAAGUCGGGUGUGAAACCUCCAGGCUCAACCUGGAGACGCCACCUGAUACUGCUGUGGCUAGAGUCCGGUAGGGGAGCACGGAAUUCCCGGUGUAGCGGUGAAAUGCUUAGAUAUCGGGAGGAACACCAGUGGCGAAGGCGGUGCGUCUGGGCCGGAACUGACGCUGAGGAGCGAAAGCGUGGGUAGCAAACAGG